rnacentral:misc_RNA from 1 species
GAUGAAGAACGCAGCGAAAUGCGAUACUUGGUGAAUUGCAGAAUCCCGUGAACCAUCGAGUCUUUGAACGCAAGUUGCGCCCGAAGCCAUUAGGCCGAGGGCACGCCUGCCUGGGCGUCACACGUCGUUGCCCCCCCCAUCUACUCCUUCGGGAUUGCGGGGGGCGGAUGAUGGCCUCCCGUGCGCCUCGCCGCGCGGUUGGCAUAAAUGCCAAGUCCUCGGCGACGCACGCCACGACAAUCGGUGGUUGCGAAACCUCGGUUGCCCGUCGUGUGCGGUCGUCGCGCAUCGAGGGCUCGAAAAAAUUGCCGAGUUCCGGCUCGGCUUUCAACGCGACCCCAGGUCAGGCGGGGUUACCCGCUGAAUUUAAGCAUAUCAAUAGCGGAGGA